GGGUUGUGAGGUUAAGCGACUAAGCGUACACGGUGGAUGCCCUGGCAGUCAGAGGCGAUGAAGGACGUGCUAAUCUGCGAAAAGCGUCGGUAAGGUGAUAUGAACCGUUACAGCCGGCGAUGUCCGAAUGGGGAAACCCAGUGCAAUUCGUUGCACUAUCGUUUGAUGAAUACAUAGUCAAACGAGGCGAACCGGGGGAACUGAAACAUCUAAGUACCCCGAGGAAAAGAAAUCAACCGAGAUUCCCCCAGUAGCGGCGAGCGAACGGGGAGCAGCCCGGAGUCUGAAUCAGCUUGUGUGUUAGUGGAAGCGUCUGGAAAGUCGCAGGGUACAGGGUGAUACUCCCGUACACUAAAACACACAGGUUGUGAACUCGAAGAGUAGGGCGGGACACGUGGUAUCCUGUCUGAAUAUGGGGGGACCAUCCUCCAAGGCUAAAUACUCCUGACUGACCGAUAGUGAACCAGUACCGUGAGGGAAAGGCGAAAAGAACCCCGGCGAGGGGAGUGAAAAAGAACCUGAAACCGUGUACGUACAAGCAGUAGGAGCCCACUAGUUGGGUGACUGCGUACCUUUUGUAUAAUGGGUCAGCGACUUAUAUUCUGUAGCAAGGUUAACCGUAUAGGGGAGCCGCAGGGAAACCGAGUCUUAACUGGGCGUUAAGUUGCAGGGUAUAGACCCGAAACCCGGUGAUCUAGCCAUGGGCAGGUUGAAGGUUGGGUAACACUAACUGGAGGACCGAACCGACUAAUGUUGAAAAAUUAGCGGAUGACUUGUGGCUGGGGGUGAAAGGCCAAUCAAACCGGGAGAUAGCUGGUUCUCCCCGAAAGCUAUUUAGGUAGCGCCUCGUGAAUUCAUCUUCGGGGGUAGAGCACUGUUUCGGCUAGGGGGUCAUCCCGACUUACCAACCCGAUGCAAACUACGAAUACCGAAGAAUGUUAUCACGGGAGACACACGGCGGGUGCUAACGUCCGUCGUGAAGAGGGAAACAACCCAGACCGCCAGCUAAGGUCCCAAAGUCAUGGUUAAGUGGGAAACGAUGUGGGAAGGCCCAGACAGCCAGGAUGUUGGCUUAGAAGCAGCCAUCAUUUAAAGAAAGCGUAAUAGCUCACUGGUCGAGUCGGCCUGCGCGGAAGAUGUAACGGGGCUAAACCAUGCACCGAAGCUGCGGCAGCGACACUAUGUGUUGUUGGGUAGGGGAGCGUUCUGUAAGCCGUUGAAGGUGGCCUGUGAGGGUUGCUGGAGGUAUCAGAAGUGCGAAUGCUGACAUAAGUAACGAUAAUGCGGGUGAAAAACCCGCACGCCGGAAGACCAAGGGUUCCUGUCCAACGUUAAUCGGGGCAGGGUGAGUCGACCCCUAAGGCGAGGCCGAAAGGCGUAGUCGAUGGGAAACAGGUUAAUAUUCCUGUACUUGGUGUUACUGCGAAGGGGGGACGGAGAAGGCUAUGUUGGCCGGGCGACGGUUGUCCCGGUUUAAGCAUGUAGGCGGAUGUUCCAGGUAAAUCCGGAGCGUCACUAACGCUGAGGUGUGAUGACGAGGCACUACGGUGCUGAAGUGACAAAUGCCCUGCUUCCAGGAAAAGCCUCUAAGCAUCAGGUAACAUCAAAUCGUACCCCAAACCGACACAGGUGGUCAGGUAGAGAAUACCAAGGCGCUUGAGAGAACUCGGGUGAAGGAACUAGGCAAAAUGGUGCCGUAACUUCGGGAGAAGGCACGCUGAUGGUAGGUGAAGUGACUUGCUCAUGGAGCUGAAAUCAGUCGAAGAUACCAGCUGGCUGCAACUGUUUAUUAAAAACACAGCACUGUGCAAACACGAAAGUGGACGUAUACGGUGUGACGCCUGCCCGGUGCCGGAAGGUUAAUUGAUGGGGUUAUCCUCGCGGAGAAGCUCUUGAUCGAAGCCCCGGUAAACGGCGGCCGUAACUAUAACGGUCCUAAGGUAGCGAAAUUCCUUGUCGGGUAAGUUCCGACCUGCACGAAUGGCGUAAUGAUGGCCAGGCUGUCUCCACCCGAGACUCAGUGAAAUUGAACUCGCUGUGAAGAUGCAGUGUACCCGCGGCAAGACGGAAAGACCCCGUGAACCUUUACUAUAGCUUGACACUGAACACUGGUCCUUGAUGUGUAGGAUAGGUGGGAGGCUUUGAAGUGUGGACGCCAGUCUGCAUGGAGCCAUCCUUGAAAUACCACCCUUUAAUGGCUGGUGUUCUAACGUGGGCCCGUGAUCCGGGUUGCGGACAGUGUCUGGUGGGUAGUUUGACUGGGGCGGUCUCCUCCUAAAGAGUAACGGAGGAGCACGAAGGUCAGCUAAUCCUGGUCGGACAUCAGGAGGUUAGUGCAAUGGCAUAAGCUGGCUUGACUGCGAGCGUGACGGCGCGAGCAGGUGCGAAAGCAGGUCAUAGUGAUCCGGUGGUUCUGAAUGGAAGGGCCAUCGCUCAACGGAUAAAAGGUACUCCGGGGAUAACAGGCUGAUACCGCCCAAGAGUUCAUAUCGACGGCGGUGUUUGGCACCUCGAUGUCGGCUCAUCACAUCCUGGGGCUGAAGUAGGUCCCAAGGGUAUGGCUGUUCGCCAUUUAAAGUGGUACGCGAGCUGGGUUUAGAACGUCGUGAGACAGUUCGGUCCCUAUCUGCCGUGGGCGCUGGAGAAUUGAGGGGGGCUGCUCCUAGUACGAGAGGACCGGAGUGGACGCAUCACUGGUGUUCGGGUUGUCAUGCCAAUGGCAUUGCCCGGUAGCUAAAUGCGGAAGAGAUAAGUGCUGAAAGCAUCUAAGCACGAAACUUGCCCCGAGAUGAGUUCUCCCUGACUCCUUGAGAGUCCUGAAGGAACGUUGAAGACGACGACGUUGAUAGGCCGGGUGUGUAAGCGCAGCGAUGCGUUGAGCUAACCGGUACUAAUGAACCGUGAGGCUUAACCUUACAACGCCGAAG
rnacentral:rRNA from 1 species